rnacentral:rRNA from 1 species
CCUACGGGAGGCAGCAGUGGGGAAUAUCGGACAAUGGGGGGAACCCUGAUCCAGCCAUGCCGCGUGUGUGAAGAAGGCCCUCGGGUUGUAAAGCACUUUCAGUGAGGAAGAACGCCUGGUGGUUAAUACCCAUCAGGAAAGACAUCACUCACAGAAGAAGCACCGGCUAACUCCGUGCCAGCAGCCGCGGUAAUACGGAGGGUGCGAGCGUUAAUCGGAAUUACUGGGCGUAAAGCGCGCGUAGGUGGCUUGAUAAGCCGGUUGUGAAAGCCCCGGGCUCAACCUGGGAACGGCAUCCGGAACUGUCAAGCUAGAGUGCAGGAGAGGAAGGUAGAAUUCCCGGUGUAGCGGUGAAAUGCGUAGAGAUCGGGAGGAAUACCAGUGGCGAAGGCGGCCUUCUGGACUGACACUGACACUGAGGUGCGAAAGCGUGGGUAGCAAACAGGAUUAGAUACCCCAGUAGUC